GUCUAUGGCCAUGCUACCCUGAACAAGCCCAAUCCUGUCUGAUCUCAGAAGCUAAGCAGGGUCAGGCCUGGUUAGUACUUGGAUGGGAGACCACCUAGGAAGACCAGGUGCUGUAGGUG
rnacentral:rRNA from 1 species